rnacentral:rRNA from 1 species
UACGAAGGGGGCUAGCGUUGCUCGGAAUUACUGGGCGUAAAGGGAGCGUAGGCGGAUAGUUCAGUCAGAGGUGAAAGCCCAGGGCUCAACCUUGGAACUGCCUUUGAUACUGGCUAUCUUGAGUUUGGGAGAGGUGUGUGGAACUCCGAGUGUAGAGGUGAAAUUCGUAGAUAUUGGGAAGAACACCAGUGGCGAAGGCGGCUAACUGGUCCAGCACUGACGCUGAGGUGCGAAAGCGUGGGGAGCAAACAGG